CAACAGGGAUUGCCUUAGUAACGGCGAGUGAAGCGGCAAAAGCUCAAAUUUGAAAUCUGGCACCUUCGGUGUCCGAGUUGUAAUUUGAAGAAGGUAACUUUGGAGUUGGCUCUUGUCUAUGUUCCUUGGAACAGGACGUCACAGAGGGUGAGAAUCCCGUGCGAUGAGAUGCCCAAUUCUAUGUAAAGUGCUUUCGAAGAGUCGAGUUGUUUGGGAAUGCAGCUCUAAGUGGGUGGUAAAUUCCAUCUAAAGCUAAAUAUUGGCGAGAGACCGAUAGCGAACAAGUACAGUGAUGGAAAGAUGAAAAGAACUUUGAAAAGAGAGUGAAAAAGUACGUGAAAUUGUUGAAAGGGAAGGGCUUGAGAUCAGACUUGGUAUUUUGCGAUCCUUUCCUUCUUGGUUGGGUUCCUCGCAGCUUACUGGGCCAGCAUCGGUUUGGAUGGUAGGAUAAUGACUAAGGAAUGUGGCUCUACUUCGGUGGAGUGUUAUAGGCCUUGGUUGAUACUGCCUGUCUAGGACCGCAGGAACUGCGUCUUUUGACUAGGAAUGUUGGCCAUAAUGAUCUUAAGCCACCCGUCUUGA
rnacentral:rRNA from 1 species